ensembl:lncRNA
AUGGAGCCAGGAGAAGCAGCGGCAGGAGAACAAAGGGCAACUCUACAAUCACCACUAAAAAUAACAAUAGCACUGACAGUUGUAACAAUUGUAGUAGUUGUAGGUAAUACAGUAACAUCAACAAUAGCUGCUGUAGCAGUAGGAGCAGCAGCAGGGGCAGCAGCUGGAAUUGGCAUUUUACAAUCACUAUGGGAGGCAAAAAUAAGAACAGUAGCAGUAGCAGUAACAGCAGCAGCAGGAUGCUUUGCAGGAACAACAGCAGCAAUAUUGCAAUCAUUGUUAGGAGCACAGUCACUAACAGGAUCAUCAGUAACUGGAGCAAUGGCAGGAGCUGCAAUAGUAACAGUAGCAAGAACACAAUUACAGUGGGCAAUAGAAACAAUACAGUGGGUAAUAGAAACAAUACAGUGGGCAAUAGAAACCAUUCAAUGGGUGGUAAACCUAGUGCAAAAAUUAAAAGCAUCAUUACCUGCAGCAACAGUAACUGGAGGAUCAGGAUUAGCAGCAGCCGUAUUAUAUCAAGCAUUGCAAGAAGAAGCAGUAGAAGCAUCAUCUGGACCAGGAGCAUUUAGACCAGCAUCAUCUGGAUCAGAAGUAUCUCGGCCAGCAGUAUCAGGUCCACCAUCAUCUGGACCAGUACCUUCAGGACCAGGAGCAUCUGGAGCAGCAGCAUCAGGUCCACCAUCAUCUGGAACAGGAGCAUCUAGAUCAGGAUCUGGAGCACCAGUAUCAGGUUCAGCAUCAUCUGGACCAGGAGCAUCUAGAUCAGGAUCUGGAGCACCAGUAUCAGGUUCAGCAUCAUCUGGACCAGGACCUUCAGCACCAGGAGCAUCUGGAGCAGCAGUAUCAGGCGCACCAUCAUCUAAACCAGGACCUUCAGUACCAGGAGCAUCUGGAGCAGCAGUAUCAGAUACAGCAUCAUCUGGACCAGGACCUUCAGGAGCAUCUGGAGCAGCAGUAUCAGAUACAGUAUCAUCUGGACCAGGACCUUCAGGAUCAGGAGCAUCUGGAUCAGCAGUGUCAGGUCCACCAUCAUCUGGACCAGGACCUUCAGGGCCAGGAGCAUCUGGAUCAGGACCUUCAGGCCCGGGACCAUCUGGACCAGCAGAAUCGGGUCCAGCAGCAUCUGGAGCAACGGGAACAGGAUCAGCAGCAUCAGGACCAGGAGCACCGGGUACAGCAGCAUCUGAAGCAACAGGAUCAGCAGCUUCUGGAGCAGCAGCACUGGCAGCAGCAGCAGGAUCAGCAGGUGCGGGAGUAGCAGCAGGAGUAAUGGGAGGAAUACUGGGAGGACUUUUGGCAGGAGCAGGAGCAGAAAAUAAUGGAUCAAAACAGAAAAGCCCAUCAAAGGCACAAUCAGCAGUGAAGGUAAGACAGCAGAUUGGUGUGACAGCUUGUGCAAUUUAAGUGUGUGCUUUUAAUGUGACCCUGUUUCAUAAUACACUGAACAAAAUUAUAAACGCAACACUUUUGUUUUUGCCCCCAUUUUUCAUGAGCUGAACUCAAAGAUCUAAGACUUUUUCUAUGUACAAAAAAGGCAUAUUUCUCUCAAAUAUUGUUCACAAAUCUAUCUAAAUCUGUGUUAGUGAGCACUUCUCCUUUGCCGAGAUAGUCCAUCCACCUCACAAGUGUGGCAUAUCAAGAUGCUGAUUAGACAGCAUGAUUAAUGCACAGGUUUGCUUUAGGCUGGCCACAAUAAAAGGCCACUCUAAAAUGUGGAGUUUUACUGU